rnacentral:lncRNA from 1 species
GGGGUGUGCUGUGAAUGGAUUGGUCAGUCUGCUAGUGAAGGGCCUCAAGCGAAACACCAAAACACACUUGUGUUCUUUUCUAAGUCUUUGAAUUCGUUUCUUUCCUUUUUUUUUUGGUAAAGAAUUCGUUUCCUAUUUUAUAUCGCUACUCUUUGCAUAUAUUUUCUUUAUCCUAAACCUUGCAGUACCAUUAGAUUUCUUCUAGAUGGGAAGUGAAUAUCUGCCCCAUGUAUUCUCUAGGUUAACAUGUAUCUCUAUUGUUUACUCAUAUAUGUAUUUGUUUAUUUAUUCAUUGGCGUUGGUCUUGGUUCCAACUAUGGUACAUUGUCU